rnacentral:rRNA from 1 species
UACGGAGGAUGCAAGCGUUAUCCGGAAUGAUUGGGCGUAAAGCGUCCGCAGGUGGCAGUUCAAGUCUGCUGUCAAAGACCGGGGCUCAACCUCGGAAAGGCAGUGGAAACUGAACAGCUAGAGUAUGGUAGGGGCAAAGGGAAUUCCUGGUGUAGCGGUGAAAUGCGUAGAGAUCAGGAAGAACAUCGGUGGCGAAGGCGCUUUGCUGGACCAUAACUGACGCUCAGGGACGAAAGCUAGGGGAGCGAAUGGG